UGAGUUUUCAAAACUCACCGAGGUAGAGAAAAGAGAAGAGAAUGGCCAUCGACAAAACCCUAAGUUCUCUACCAUCGGUGUAGCUGUCGUUACAUUCGUCGGUUCACCGCCGUUGCAGUCGCCUGGUUCCGCCGCCGUUGCCGCUACAGUUGUCGCAAGAAGCUCAUGAAUCGAGCCACCUCCUCUAUCAACAUUAUGGUUUCAGAUCUGGUUGCUCUGUAGCUAUGGUUGCCGAUGCAGCUUCCGCCACCGUUGUCGCCGCAGUUUUCGCCAACUUUGUCGCGUUAUUCUUAGCUACUCAAGAAUACUUAGCCAAUUCUUAGUUGCAAAUGGCAUUUAGUCUUUUUGUUGUUGAAAUAUUAGAUUCCAUUAUAAGGUGUAAUUUUGGAAUUCUUUAAUAUAAAAUGUGUUCAUUAUAAGGUGUAAUUAAUAGUGUAACUAAGGAGUGGCAAAAUUGGAUGAUUUUAUAGUAAAAAAGGAAAAGUGAAAUAAAGAGAGAAGGAAUGAGGAAGAGAGUGAGUCACAUGGGGUGGGGUAGCGAUGAAGACUUGGGUGCAAGGAAAAUGAAAAAGGCAGGUAUGAUUUAAUCAAAAGGAGGUUAAUUAAUUAAUAUAAUACCACAGUGUUAAGCAAAGCAUGGGGAAAUAAAUCCAAUUAAGAAAAGGAGCAAAAAAUAAAGUCAUUGUUAAUAAAAAAGUGUCCUAAUCUUGUUGGACUCCCCAACGGCUCCGCUCUGUUGGAGUCCUUCAUAGCAGCAUCAAGUUCAAUCAAUUUGAAGAUUUCAGGCAGAAAAGCUUAUAUGAGAUACUUGGAUAAUAUUUACAAGCAGAACGACAUCUCUUGAUUUAUGCCUGUGGAGAUCUUCAAGCUUUGGUAUGGCCAUGUGAUUGCUGAAGCCAUCUUGCAAAUUGCAAACUUCUCUAAAAGUCUCUUUUGGUGGAGGCAUAGGUAGCUUGGUUACGUUCUUGAUACAAUUGAUCAUGGCGUCAGUCUGAAAUACCACAAUAGGGUUAUUCAAGUCAGAUAAAUGCCAUCUUCUCUUUGCAGUAGGAAUACUUCCUAAAGGAUAUAAUCUUUCUAGUUUGGAUGCUUUCAAGAAGGAGGGAUCCCUUAAUGUUCAAGCUGGCACUGCUUUUGUUGAUUUGAGUUUAUUGAAGAGGCUAAUGAUGUUGAAAGCAAGCCUACUAUUCCCUUUGAUGCUAGAAGAUCAGCUAGUGAUAGCAACGGACAUUCGAGAACAAAUAUUUGAGACUUUUAUGUAAUUAGAUGGUAUUGAAAUAUUGAAGUUGUUGUUUUAUUUUACUUUAAAAAAAACAUUAAUAAUUAUGUAAAACAAUAUCAUAUGCAAUUAUGUUUGGAACUAAUUGACAUUGAGAAUUUUUUUUUUUUUAUA